AGUGGACGCUGGCGGCGUGCUAAUACAUGCAAGUCGAACGGAAUUUAAGAGGGCUUGCUCUUUUAAAUUUAGUGGCGCACGGGUGAGUAAUACAUAGCUAAUCUGCCCCUUGCUGGAGGACAACAGUUAGAAAUGACUGCUAAUACUCCAUACUCCUUUUUACCAUAAGAUAAAUCGGGAAAGAAUUUCGGCAAGGGAUGAGACUAUAUCGUAUCAGCUAGUCGGUGGGGUAACGGCCUACCGAGGCUAUGACGCGUAACUGGUCUGAGAGGAUGAUCAGUCACAUUGGAACUGAGACACGGUCCAAACUCCUACGGGAGGCAGCAGUAGGGAAUAUUGCGCAAUGGGGGAAACCCUGACGCAGCAACGCCGCGUGGAGGAUGACACUUUUCGGAGCGUAAACUCCUUUUGUUAGGGAAGAAUAAUGACGGUACCUAACGAAUAAGCACCGGCUAACUCCGUGCCAGCAGCCGCGGUAAUACGGAGGGUGCAAGCGUUACUCGGAAUCACUGGGCGUAAAGGACGCGUAGGCGGAUUAUCAAGUCUCUUGUGAAAUCUAACGGCUUAACCGUUAAACUGCUUGGGAAACUGAUAAUCUAGAGUAAGGGAGAGGCAGAUGGAAUUCUUGGUGUAGGGGUAAAAUCCGUAGAUAUCAAGAAGAAUACCUAUUGCGAAGGCGAUCUGCUGGAACUUAACUGACGCUAAUGCGUGAAAGCGUGGGGAGCAAACAAG
rnacentral:rRNA from 1 species